rnacentral:lncRNA from 1 species
UUUGGUUUUAUUCUAAGUUGAAGUUAAUCAUUUAAUAUAAGGAAGCUCGGGGCCUCUAAUGUAUUACUUUAAACUCCUAGUUUCUCUAGCUUCCUCAGGUCUCUGCUCUUGCAAACUAUCCUUCACCUGCCUCUAGAACUUUUUACUUUUUGAACUUUACUUUUUACCCUAAAAGCCACCCCAUGCAUCUACAGAAUUUGGUGCAUGCUCCUUAGUGGGCCUGGGAGAGAAG